rnacentral:rRNA from 1 species
CCCGCUGAACUUAAGCAUAUCAUUAAGCGGAGGAAAAGAAACUAACAAGGAUGCCCUCAGUAACGGCGAGUGAAGCGGGCAAAGCUCAACCUGUAAAUCUGUUACCUUAGCGGGUAACCGAGUUGUGGGCUACAGACGCUGUAUCAGUGUGUGACCCAGGUAUAAAUCUUUUGGAACAUGGUUAUCAUAGAGGGUGAGAGUCCCGUCUGUGACCUGGAGUUCGCCACGUACGAUACGCGUUCUAAGAGUCGGGUUGUUUGGGAUUGCAGCCCUAAUUGGGUGGUAAACUUCAUCCAAAGCUAAAUAUCGACGAGAGACCGAUAGCGAACAAGUACCGUGAGGGAAAGGUGAAAAGAACUUUGAAAAGAGAGUUAAAAAGUACUUGAAAUUGCUAAGAGGGAAGCACUGGAAACCAGUCGUGCCAAGCGUCUAUAUUUACCACCCGCACUCGGAUCUCUGAGAUAACGAGCCAAAAGCCGGAUAUCAAAAGGGUGAUGGAGUGUGGUUGGGUUCUGUAGCGUUGGGUGUGUCAGAAUCAAUUUGAUCCGUGAGAGAAAGCUUGUGCUACGCAGAGGACGGAGGCUUUCGGGCCAAUGUCUGUUCGGUGCGCGAGUGCUAUCAUGGGUUGGAUUGAGGCAAAUCACAAGUGCGCACCACUAGGUUAGCUCCCGCCUUUUUCCUGGAAGAUCACUGAGCUUGCACAAUAAAAUUGUGCGGCUUAGAAAGUCAACUACUGGAAUUGAACGGGAAGCAGCAGCACUCGAGAUUCUGACGAAAUGGUUUUCAUUGACCCGUCUUGAAACACGG